rnacentral:rRNA from 1 species
AUGUUAUUGCAAAAUUUUGGUGGGGGUGAUGAUGAGAACAGUAACAAAAUGCAUUGGGAUGCAUGGUGGAAGCUUUGUUUCCCAAACAAUCAAGGAGGUCUCGGUUUUCAUGAUUUCCAUUCUUUCAAUUUUGUCAUGCUAGCGAAGCAGGUAUGGAGGCUUGUGUGCUCACCAGAUUCUUUAUGUGCAAGAGUGUUAAAGACUAAAUAUUAUCCAAAUCAAAGUAUCCUUGAAGCGGGUCCAAACGGAGGGUUUUGAUAUACUUGGCGAAGUAUCGUAGCUGGAAUUCAAACUUAUAAAAGGGGAAGUAUAUGGAGAGUUGGUAAUGGAGAAUCUAUUGAUAUUUGGAAGGACCCGUGGAUCCCCUCUAGUCCUAGUAGAAAAUUUUGA